rnacentral:tRNA from 2 species
GCCGUGGUAGUUUAGUGGUAGAAUGGGAGGCUGUGGCCCUCCAGACCGGGGUUCAAUUCCCCGCCACGGCC